rnacentral:tRNA from 1 species
GCUAUGGCUCUAUACACACCUAAUAGGCUAUACCUACCAUCUUCUCUUUACUCUUUAGACUACCUUACCU